rnacentral:rRNA from 1 species
UACGGAGGGGACUAGCGUUGUUCGGAAUUACUGGGCGUAAAGCGCACGUAGGCGGAUUUGUAAGUCAGGGGUGAAAUCCCGGGGCUCAACCUCGGAACUGCCUUUGAUACUGCAAAUCUCGAGUCCGGAAGAGGUGAGUGGAAUUCCUAGUGUAGAGGUGAAAUUCGUAGAUAUUGGGAGGAACACCAAAUGGCGAAGGCAGCACCCUGGGCCGGUACUGACGCUGAGGAGCGAAAGCGUGGGGGAGCAAACAGGG